rnacentral:rRNA from 1 species
CGCGCUGGACCGUGUACAAGUCCCUUGGAAUAGGGCAUCAUAGAGGGUGAGAAUCCCGUCUUUGACACGGACUGCCAGGGCAUUGUGAUGCGCUCUCGAAGAGUCGAGUUGUUUGGGAAUGCAGCUCAAAAUGGGUGGUAAAUUCCAUCUAAAGCUAAAUAUUGGGGAGAGACCGAUAGCGAACAAGUACCGUGAGGGAAAGAUGAAAAGAACUUUGGAAAGAGAGUUAAACAGUACGUGGAAUUGCUGAAAGGGAAACGCUUGAAGUCAGUCGCGACGCUCAGGACUCAGCCUUGCUCUUUUGCUUGGUGUACUUCCUGUUCGUCGGGUCAGCAUCAGUUUUGGUCGGUGGAAAAAGGCUUAGAGAAUGUGGCAUCUUCGGGUGUGUUAUAGCUCUGGGUCGCAUGCACCGGCUGGGACUGAGGAACUCAGCACGCCGCAAGGCCGGGUAUUUAUACCACGUACGUGCUUGGGAUGCUGGCAUAAUGGCUUUAAUCGACC